AGCAGCCGCGGUAAUUCCAGCUCCAACAGCGUAUAUUAAAGUUGUUGCAGUUAAAAAGCUCGUAGUUGAAUUUCGAGAUCGAAUUGUUGGUCGUACCUCGGUACGUACUGGCAUUAUUGAUUUCUCCCUUCUGAAGAACCUUGAUGUCAUUAAUUUGGUGUCUUGGGGAAUCAGGACCGUUACUUUGAAAAAAUUAGAGUGUUUAAAGCAGGCUCACGCUUGAAUACAUUAGCAUGGAAUAAUGAAAUAGGACGUUUGAUUCUAUUUUGUUGGUUUCUAGGAUCGACGUAAUGAUUAAUAGGGAUAGUUGGGGGCAUUAGUAUUCAAUUGUCAGAGGUGAAAUUCUUGGAUUUAUUGAAGACUAACUACUGCGAAAGCAUUUGCCAAGGAUGUUUUCAUUAAUCAAGAACGAAAGUUAGGGGAUCGAAGACGAUCAGAUACCGUCGUAGUCUUAACCAUAAACUAUGCCGACUAGGGAUCGGAUGAUGUUAAUUUUUAAUGACUCAUUCGGCGCCUUAAC
rnacentral:rRNA from 1 species